GAAACGACUGCUAAGACUGGAUAGGAGACAAGAGGCAUCUUCUUGUUUUUAAAAGACCUAGCAAUAGGUAUGCUUAGGGAGGAGCUUGCGUCACAUUAGUUAGUUGGUGGGGUAAAGGCCUACCAAGACUAUGAUGUGUAGCCGGGCUGAGAGGUUGAACGGCCACAUUGGGACUGAGACACGGCCCAAACUCCUACGGGAGGCAGCAGUAGGGAAUUUUCGGCAAUGGAGGAAACUCUGACCGAGCAACGCCGCGUGAACGAUGAAGUAUUUCGGUACGUAAAGUUCUUUUAUUAGGGAAGAAUAAAUGAUGGAAAAAUCAUUCUGACGGUACCUAAUGAAUAAGCCCCGGCUAACUAUGUGCCAGCAGCCGCGGUAAUACAUAGGGGGCAAGCGUUAUCCGGAAUUAUUGGGCGUAAAGGGUGCGUAGGCGGUUAAAUAAGUUUAUGGUCUAAGUGCAAUGCUCAACAUUGUGAUGCUAUAAAAACUGUUUAGCUAGAGUAAGAUAGAGGCAAGUGGAAUUCCAUGUGUAGUGGUAAAAUGCGUAAAUAUAUGGAGGAACACCAGUAGCGAAGGCGGCUUGCUGGGUCUUUACUGACGCUGAGGCACGAAAGCGUGGGGAGCAAACAGGAUUAGAUACCCUGGUAGUCCACGCCGUAAACGAUGAGUACUAAACGUUGGGUAAAACCAGUGUUGAAGUUAACACAUUAAGUACUCCGCCUGAGUAGUACGUACGCAAGUAUGAAACUUAAAGGAAUUGACGGGACUCCGCACAAGCGGUGGAUCAUGUUGUUUAAUUCGAAGGUACCCGAAAAACCUCACCAGGUCUUGACAUGCUUCUGCAAAGCUGUAGAAACACAGUGGAGGUUAUCAGUUGCACAGGUGGUGCAUGGUUGUCGUCAGCUCGUGUCGUGAGAUGUUGGGUUAAGUCCCGCAACGAGCGCAACCCUUAUUGUUAGUUACCAGCACGUAAUGGUGGGGACUUUAGCAAGACUGCCAGUGAUAAAUUGGAGGAAGGUGGGGACGACGUCAAAUCAUCAUGCCCCUUAUGACCUGGGCUACAAACGUGAUACAAUGGCUGUUACAAAGGGUAGCUGAAGCGCAAGUUUUUGGCGAACCUCAAAAAAACAGUCUCAGUUCGGAUUGAAGUCUGCAACUCGACUUCAUGAAGUUGGAAUCGCUAGUAAUCGCGAAUCAGCAUGUCGCGGUGAAUACGUUCUCGGGGUUUGUACACACCGCCCGUCA
rnacentral:rRNA from 2 species